GCCUCCCUAAACAUGAAGCACGCUGCCAACAUUGACAGAACACAAUAAGCUACCAUAGAAAACAAGUCAUAAACACAAAACACACACACAUAAAGUGAAUGGUUAAGCAAAGCAUGAAUUAUAGACCACAAAAUUAAUUAGAGAAAAACAAACGGAAUUCUAAGAUCAGCACAUGAAAAACAACCCUAAACAAGAAGCAAUCCGAGAAAAUCAAUCUAAACAUGCAGCCAAGAAACUCAACAUCAGAGAGAAGUGUGUCCUCUAAUUAAAAACUAGAGUGCAUAUCACAAGCUCCUUAUAAGCUAACAUUUAGAUAAUAUGGUGGGCUCCGCAAUUUUGGCCCUGUAGAAUGAUUGCGUCAUUAAUGUAACAUUAUUCGUGCACGCAUUAAACGAUUAAUAAAACUAUAGCAGAGAGCAAGGCCCCCGCCAAAAGAAAAAGUAAUUUCUAAUUGCAUAGAACAACAGAGAAAUCAGGGAAAGGAAAAAACAACAAAAUAGAAGCAAAAGGGAUUGUGGAAAAAAAAAAUUCUUGAAGAACAGCAAUAAUCAGCACCAUAGCAUAUGCGUCAAAUCUUAGAUCAAUUUUGCAGGGCAGAAAGUUACUACCCGUCCUGAAAUCAAACACAAAUUGAACGUUUGUUAUAUAGAUAGAUGAAUGCCAUAGACAAUCUCUCAGCAUCCACACUAUAUCUGGCAACAACUGCAUUAUACGUGUAGGAAAGAAGAAAGUGAAGUGUCAAAGAAAGAGGCAAAAUAAAGCCUACAUUAAAAGAAUACCUCCCACUCCCUUUGAUUUUGUUGUCCCCAUCAAUC
rnacentral:misc_RNA from 1 species